rnacentral:snRNA from 1 species
GGAUGUUAGGGCGAUCUGCAUGUGACAUCCGUCACCCUGUUGAUUGCGUGUUGGUUUGGAUGAUCUGGCUGGUCAGGCCAGUGUGUCCUUCUUCCCUCACCACUCUGUAUGGGUCCCCUCACAGGCUGCUCACUUGGUCUAAGAGGAUGACCAUCCUUGCUCGAGGAGGUCCGUUUAAGGAUGUACGAGCAGCUGCACUCCCUGACUAGAGCCUCCAAACACUCUCAAAACCAACACCAAUUGGAUAUGUGACUGCGGGGUGACAUUUGGAAGAUAUGGAACACAGGUACAUGCCUUGCAAGCCACAAGGCCUAAAUUU